rnacentral:rRNA from 1 species
UACAGAGGUCUCAAGCGUUGUUCGGAUUCAUUGGGCGUAAAGGGCGCGUAGGUGGUUCUGUAUGUCUACCGUGAAAGCGUACGGCUCAACCGUAUUUUGUCGGUGGAAACUGCAGGACUUGAGGCUGGGAGGGGCUGGUGGAAUUCCCUGUGUAGCGGUGAAAUGCGCAGAUAUCAGGAAGAACACCCGUGGCGAAGGCGGCUCUCUGGGACGGUACUGACGCUGAGACGCGAAAGCGUGGGGAGCGAACAGG